rnacentral:tRNA from 1 species
GCCCGGGUGGCGGAAUGGUUUACGCAGAGGACUUAAAAUCCUCGACCCGCAAGGGUUUGUGGGUUCGACUCCCACCCCGGGCA